CAGUCGCCACGGUAAUACGUAGGUGGCAAGCGUUGUCCGGAAUUAUUUGGCGUAAAGGGCUCGCAGGCGGUUUCUUAAGUCUGAUGUGAAAGCCCCCGGCUCAACCGGGGAGGGUCAUUGGAAACUGGGAAACUUGAGUGCAGAAGAGGAGAGUGGAAUUCCACGUGUAGCGGUGAAAUGCGUAGAGAUGUGGAGGAACACCAGUGGCGAAGGCGACUCUCUGGUCUGUAACUGACGCUGAGGAGCGAAAGCGUGGGGAGCGAACAGGAUUAGAUACCCCCGUAGUCCCUGUCUCUUAUAU
rnacentral:rRNA from 1 species